AUACGGAGGUUGCAAGCGUUACUCGGAAUCACUGGGCGUAAAGGACGCGUAGGCGGGAUGCCAAGUCUGAUGUGAAAUCCUAUGGCUCAACCAUAGAACUGCAUUGGAAACUGGUAACCUAGAGUAUGGGAGGGGGAGAUGGAAUUAGUGGUGUAGGGGUAAAAUCCGUAGAUAUCACUAGGAAUACCGAAAGCGAAGGCGAUCUCCUGGAACAUUACUGACGCUAAGGCGUGAAAGCGUGGGGAGCAAACAGGAUUAGAAACCCCGGUAGUCC
rnacentral:rRNA from 1 species